UACGUAGGGUGCGAGCGUUAAUCGGAAUUACUGGGCGUAAAGCGUGCGCAGGCGGUUCUCCAAGUCCGUUGUGAAAGCCCCGGGCUCAACCUGGGAAUGGCAGUGGAAACUAGGGGACUGGAAUCUGGCAGGAGGGGGGUGGAAUGCCGCGUGUAGCAGUGAAAUGCGUAGAGAUGCGGCGGAACACCGAUGGCGAAGGCAGCCCCCUGGGCUGAGAUUGACGCUCAGGCACGAAAGCGUGGGGAGCAAACAGG
rnacentral:rRNA from 1 species